CCUACGGGAGGCAGCAGUGGGGGAUAUUGCACAAUGGAGGAAACUCUGAUGCAGCGACGCCGCGUGAGGGAAGACGGUCUUCGGAUUGUAAACCUCUGUCUUUGGGGAAGAAAAUGACGGUACCCAAAGAGGAAGCUCCGGCUAACUACGUGCCAGCAGCCGCGGUCAUACGUAGGGAGCGAGCGUUGUCCGGAAUUACUGGGUGAAAAGGGAGCGUAGGCGGGCGGGAAAGUUGAAUGUUAAAUCUACCGGCUUAACUGGUAGCUGCGUUCAAAACUUCUUGUCUUGAGUGAGGUAGAGGCAGGCGGAAUUCCUGGUGUAGCGGUGAAAUGCGUAGAUAUUAGGAGGAACACCAGUGGCGAAGGCGGCCUGCUGGGCUUUAACUGACGCUGAGGCUCGAAAGCGUGGGGAGCAAACAGGAUUAGAUACCCCGGUAGUC
rnacentral:rRNA from 1 species